rnacentral:rRNA from 1 species
UCAGGUUAAUAUUCCUGAGCUGUCGUCGGGAACGGAUCUCUGAGCUCCGCGGGACUGUCAGAUGUCCAGGCCCUAGUGGCCGAUGCGGGGGGAUGGGGUUCCUAGAAAAGCCGACGACGAACCCGUACCAAAACUGACACAGGUGGGUGAGGCGAAUAGCCUAAGGCGCUCGAGAGAACGGUCGUGAAGGAACUAGGCAAGUUAACCCCGUAACUUCGGGAUAAGGGGGGCCUACCCGUAAGGGAGGCCGCAGAGAAAAGGGUCUGGGAACUGUUUAUCAAAAACACAGCUCUGUGCCAAGACGGAAGUCGAUGUAUACAGAGUGACGCUUGCCCAAUACCGGAAUGUCAAGGGAGCGGGUCAGCGAAAGCGAAGCUCGUCACCGAAGCACCGGAGAAUGGCGGCCGUAACUAUGACGGUCCUAAGGUAGCGAAGUUCCUUGUCGGGUAAGUUCCGACGCGCAUGAAUAGCGUAAUCACUGGACUCCUGUCUCCACG